UGCUAAUUUGAUUUUGCACCUCAAAAUUACUGUUUCCAAGAUUUACGCAAAUAACAAGGGGGGAGGGGGGCUCUUGCGCAAAAUGUUGCAAGAACAAUAGCAAAAGUAGAAAUUGGUUACUUUUCGGCAUUAGCAAGGGGCCAGUCUGCAGAGUAUGGCAUGUGCACACCGGAGAUAUUUUUGAGCAAAACCUGUUGCACACCGGGUAUUUUUGGGUGUGGCAACUAAGAUGGGUGUGGCUUGGUGUGGUCCCAUAAAAAAAUGUCAGCUGAUAAGAACAAGCACAGUUGUGUAUGAACAAUUUGAGAUAUCAUGAAUCUUACUUGACAAAUAUACAAAUAAAAACUUGCGCUAUCUUCAACAGUAUUCUUCACACGCAUUUUUACGGUGAAAUGCAAAUUCAUAAAUUUCAACCACAACAGAGGAAAAAAGUCGGUGCACACCAGCACACCAGACAUUUUGGUUGUGCACACCGGCACACCAGGCUUUUUGCUCGUGCACACCGGAGAUCUCGUCGAAAAGUGCCAUACUCUGCAGACCGGGCAAGGGGGGCUCAGCCCCUCUGACCCCUAGCAUUACACCCCUGCCGUCAGGGGUGCCUGAGAAUAGAAAAAUAAAACCUUUGUUCACCCAUUUUUAUAUCAUUAUCUGCCAAAGACAACAUAGGCUGCAAGGGACAAAGAAAUUUCAUUGCAGCCUGUGAGCUAUGAAGUGAUUACCAAGACAAGGGCUAUUGAAUGGUUAUGAAGUUAUUACCAGGACUGUUGAAUGUGACAGAUAUAAUCCUUUCACAUUGUACAAAACGCAGAUUGAAAUUAAUUUAAUGUUCAUGGUAUUUUAGAGGACUUGGGAUUGCUGUAAAGCUAUGGUCCUUUAUGCAGUGCAUAGAGAUGGCACACCCAAGAUGCAGUCAUUGUGUCUUUGAAGGCCAACUUAAAAACUAGAUGUAUUCAAUUUAAUUAUGGAAAAACUGAUAGUUCUGAUGCACCUGGCAUUUUUGGGUAAUCUUUUAAGCACCUGCACCUGAGGUGUGGUGCUAUUGGCCCACCCCGGAUCUUGUCAUAAGUCAUACUGUGCAAACUGGGUUAUUGUACAAACUGCCUAUUACUUAUGAUACUAAACCAGUUCCAUCAAGCAGAUGGUUAAAAUUGUGUUUAGGUUUAAAUUCAUACAUGUUUCCAUACUGUCAUAGUCAUAUUUUUUUAAAAAAAUCAACACUUUGAAACUCUGACAUCAACAUAUUAAAACUGUAAAAUUUUGUAUAUAACUGUUAGACUGUCACAUUCCUCAUUCUGACCAACAUGGUUUAGUAUUUUCUUUUCUUGAUUUUUUCAACUUAGUGGCAAUGAAAAUACAUGUUUUUAUACUAUAAUAAUGAUAAAAAAAUAGUGAUAAUAAUAAGUAUUUAAGAGACCCAUCAAAGAUGGCUUUUCACUGCUAAAGUUUAAAUCUUACAAACAAUGUCUUGGUUGUACCAAACUUAAAAAUGGCUUUAAAAAAGCAAAUAUUUUGAGUCAUACUAAAAUCUUGAGUAUUUUGCAGUUUGAUUUAAAGUAUUUACAGAAAAAGGAAUACCAUAGACUUUAAAGAAUUAUUUUUAGUUUUAUUAUUUUAUUCCUGAUAAAUGCCCAUGAAAAUUCAAGCACUGUUUUCUUAUUUGGUGGCCCAGAGUUUUACUAAUUGUCCAUUCUCUAGUUUGUUUAAUGGCAUCCAGACUGUUCUUUUUUUAAUGGCAUCCCAUUGCCCACAUUACUUUUGGAAGCUUGACAAUAACACAUAUCAGAAGCCAGCUCCCAACUCUGGGGCUAGGCCCAGAGUAAAAAAUGCACCAAUCAAGUGCUUCAUAUUAUCUUCUAUUCAAAUGCAAGUUGCAUUUGGAUUGGUGAAUUCUGCCCGAAUUUGCAUGCAUGCGGGGCCAGUUACAAUUAUGGACAAGGAAUUCAAUUCAGCUGUAGCUAAAUGUAUCUUGUUGCAAUAAGCUAUGUAGAUCUUACAGUGGUUUUAUUUCACAACUAGCUUUUUCAGGAUGCAAUUUUAAGGAAAAGAAUACAGAGUUAAGUCAGAAUCAGAAUAUGUUUUGCCCAUCUUCAAAUACAGCUCAAAAUGGAAAGUUUGGACCCGCUUCAUGCAUGUAAACCCCAAUUACCCAUAAAUAUUCUGACAGCAUAAAGUAUUGUGCAUCCAAAUGCAAUCUUUUUAAUUGUAUAUUGUGUUCUCACAGCAUAUGACAAUGCAUUGGCAAAUUUAACUGUUUGGCACUGUAAAUAAUUUUUCAUUGCCAUACUGCGAGAAUUACUGUUAAACAAUGUUUCUUGCUUGUUUUUCAACAAUUGGAAAAGAAAUUCAUUGCCAUCCAAAACAAAUUAAAUGCUCAUAUACAUAAUAUGCAGAACUAUUGAUUGCCCCGUUGUGAGUUUGAAGAAUGGAUAUUUUGAAUCUGUUUCAUAAUCAUUUGAUUUGCUUUACUUCAAAACGAAAAUCAUCCAGGACCUUGAUAAACUGCCUAUAAGUGAAAUGAGGCGGCUUAAUAUAGUACCAAUAUGUUUCACUCAGGGGUUGUGCUAAAAAAUUUCUUAGGGGGAUGUCUAGUGCCAGAUUGCCAAGUAGAGAUUUUUCAAUUAUUUUAAGUAAAGGCAUACCCCGUGUUCGAAAUCUGAAGGAAACAUCCCUUCUUUUCAGUUAAUUUUUGAAAAUCUGUCUUCGUUUCGAUGGUCUUCAUUCAAGAAUUAUAUUCUCUCUAUAUGCUCUUAUAUUUUGAUUUCUUUAGCACUAGCGAUUUAGCUAACCGAAAUACACAGUCAUGCGCAUUUCCGAAUUAGCCUUGCUUCUGAUACUAGCGUUAACGAUGGACAAGAGCGUCCGAUAGUUUAUAAAUUCCUGUUACAAGGUACCAGGACAUGGCGAAAUUUUCCCUGCACGCCCUUGCUUCGAGUUAUAUUUUUCAAAAAACUCGAAAACUUUCGAAAGGCAAUUAUUAAUAUUCGCACAGAACUAAAAUUGAUUACAACCAUCAAUUGACAUCUCGAAAGAACGUUUGCAUAAAAAGUUCGCUGUGCUUAUGGUUUCGGCGUCAUAGAUUUUACAGUUUAGUUUAGUUUCACCAUUGAAUUGAGAAAAACUAUAUCAAUGAUGUAUCAAAUUUCCACCAGUUUUUGCUAAUUCCUCGUAAUUGUAUAAUUUGUUAAUUGGUUUUCUGAAAUCUUCAAAAACGCCCAAGACCUAUGAUUAACCAAGACUUAUGACUAACGCAAAUUAGUUUCUUUGAUGGGGAGAUGAGAUGCAGCAAGUUCUUGAGUAUGAAAUGAGUACCCCCGUUUUGGGGCCAUUGCACAUGCGUAUUAUAUAUUCUGAGUCAAAGAGGCAUAGAACCCCCCGAGAAAGGAACAAACAGAACUUUGCGAUUGAAUUUCAAAACCAAGUGAGCGGUCGGAGCUUAAUAUUCACAUUGACCUGGGAGUUUGAUCAUAGCAGAAAUAUCUUUCAUACUGAAAAGCCUGACUGGAUUCUCUGUUGUUUUAUGUUUUUUGUUGGUAUUAAGGCUCACUUUACUUCCAAAGGUACAAAAUUAAAGGUUUUGGAAUAUGACUUGCAAAGUUACUCAGAGCUCAACAACUUGGAGUUUAGCUAAAAUACUUGUUGGAACUUGUAUUUGAAAUUCGAUAGACAAGCUUUUGCAAGCAACUUCCAAGCGGCCAUUGAAUAGCAAUUGUUCUCAUAUAAAAGCCACAUUUUUCAAGCCACACACAUGAGGAUAAAUAGAGGCGGGCCGUCACGAGGUUGGAAAAGGGGGGGGGGGUCUUAUAAAAAAGAGUGUACAUGGAAACUCGCCAAAAUGAUAUCUAAUUGUGUUCUAGAUAACCUGUGAAGAUAACAAGAUGACCAUAUUUUUCACCUGGAUUACCAGACAGCCAACAUGAAAUAAGAAGGCCAUACAUCAUACAGUGCCUAAAAAGACCUAAAGAAAGUAUUGCUGCUGAAGGUUGUUGUGAUAGUCCGGCUAAUCAUCUACGUGAAUGAAUUCAACUACAGGUACGAUAAAGGUUCAGAUAGAACUUGGAAGGUCACUGAAAAGUCUUGAAAUGAUCAAAUAAAGGUAUUUUUUAGUAUUUAUAGUUGUUUGGGGCUAGGAAAAGUUUUUAAAAAACUUCAUUUAUUUUUUAUUUUUCUGCAUGUUUGGGGUCAUACAUUUUUGAAGAAAUGACCAAAUUCUAUUUUGUGGUAUACGGGCCUGAAAUUUAUAGAAACCUUAUCAGAUGGUGUUGCAAGCAUAAAAUAAGGCAUUUUA